CUAGUAUAAGCAAUUAUACGGCGAAACUGCGAAUGGCUCAUUAUAUAAGUUAUCGUUUAUUUGAUAGCACCUUACUACUUGGAUAACCGUGGUAAUUCUAGAGCUAAUACAUGCUGAAAACCCCGACCUCUGGGAGGGGUGUAUUUAUUAGAUUAAAAACCAAUGCCCUCUGGGCUCUCUGGUGAUUCAUGAUAACUCGUCGAAUCGCACGGCCUUGCGCCGGCGAUGGUUCAUUCAAAUUUCUUCCCUAUCAGCUUUCGAUGUUUGGGUAGUGGCCAAACAUGGCUGCAACGGGUAACGGAGGGUUAGGGCUCGACCCCGGAGAAGGAGCCUGAGAAACGGCUACUACAUCCAAGGAAGGCAGCAGGCGCGCAAAUUACCCAAUCCCGACACGGGGAGGUAGUGACAAUAAAUACUGAUACAGGGCUCUUUUGGGUCUUGUAAUUGGAAUGAGUACAAUUUAAAUCCCUUAACGAGGAACAAUUGGAGGGCAAGUCUGGUGCCAGCAGCCGCGGUAAUUCCAGCUCCAAUAGCGUAUAUUAAAGUUGUUGUGGUUAAAAAGCUCGUAGUUGAACCUUGGGCCUGGCUGGCCGGUCCGCCUCACCGCGUGCACUGGUCCGGCCGGGCCUUUCCCUCCGCGGAACCCCAUGCCCUUCACUGGGCGUGGCGGGGAAACGGGACUUUUACUUUGAAAAAAUUAGAGUGCUCCAGGCAGGCCUAUGCUCGAAUACAUUAGCAUGGAAUAAUGAAAUAGGACGCGCGGUUCUAUUUUGUUGGUUUCUAGGACCGCCGUAAUGAUUAAUAGGGACAGUCGGGGGCAUCAGUAUUCAAUUGUCAGAGGUGAAAUUCUUGGAUCAAUUGAAGACUAACUACUGCGAAAGCAUUUGCCAAGGAUGUUUUCAUU
rnacentral:rRNA from 1 species